rnacentral:rRNA from 1 species
GAUGAACGCUAGCUACAGGCUUAACACAUGCAAGUCGCAGGGUAACAUGAGGAAAGCUUGCUUUCCUUGAUGACGACUGGCGCACGGGUGAGUAACGCGUAUCCAACCUUCCCAUAACUACGGGAUAACCCGUUGAAAGACGGCCUAAUACCGUAUGAUAUCGUUUGCUGACAUCAAAUAACGAUUAAAGGGUUAGCGGUUAUGGAUGGGGAUGCGUCUGAUUGGCUUGGUGGCGGGGUAACGGCCCACCAAGGCGAGGAUCAGUAGGGGUUCUGAGGGGGAGCGGCCCGACAGUGGAACUGGGAAACGGUCGAAAGUGAUACGGGAGGGAGCAGUGAGGAAGAUUGGUCAAGGGGCGAGAGCCUGAACCAGCCAAGUAGCGUGCAGGACGACGGCCCUAUGGGUGGUAAACUGCUUUUAUGUGGGGAUAAAGUGCGUGACGGGUCAUGCAUUGAAGGUACCACAUGAAUAAGGACCGGCUAAUUCCGUG